UGAGCUCUAGUUCCAGAAGAAAGAUCUUGGGGAAGUCAUUGCAGGCUAUGAACGUAUCCUAAGGAAACAACUUAAAAGCAAAAGAAGUUAUACACAUGAAGGCAUUGAUUACAACAUUACUUGGAAAUAAAUGAGAACCAACCUCGUUUGCAAAUGUAGGAUAAUUCAAAAGCCAGUGCUGUCUUCUCUCCUGGCUGCUCUGGGACAAAAACAAUCUCAUAGAAACUGCUGCAGUCCACCAGGAAGAGAAAAGGAUGCUACUGGCCCAAGGAGAAUGUAGAAACCUGUGGUGUCAACUUGAACCCAACUUUACUAUGUAGUGAAGCCCAGCUUCUUCCAGUCAAGUCCGAGGAGCCAUAGUUGGUCACCCAUGAGUAAGAAAAUGAGUGGCAGCUGC
rnacentral:lncRNA from 1 species